CCUACGAGAGGCUGCAGUGGGGGAUAUUGCACAAUGGGGGAAACCCUGAUGCAGCGACGCCGCGUGGGCGAAGAAGUAUUUCGGUAUGUAAAGCCCUAUCAGCAGGGAAGAAGAAAUGACGGUACCUGAGUAAGAAGCACCGGCUAAAUACGUGCCAGCAGCCGCGGUAAUACGUAUGGUGCAAGCGUUAUCCGGAUUUACUGGGUGUAAAGGGAGCGCAGGCGGCGCGUUAAGCCUGGUGUGAAAGUCCGCGGCCCAACCGCGGGACUGCAUUGGGAACUGGCGCGCUGUAGUGCCGGAGGGGUAGGCGGAAUUCCUAGUGUAGCGGUGAAAUGCGUAGAUAUUAGGAGGAACACCAGUGGCGAAGGCGGCCUACUGGACGGUGACUGACGCUGAGGCUCGAAAGCGUGGGGAGCAAACAGGAUUAGAUACCCUUGUAGUC
rnacentral:rRNA from 1 species